rnacentral:rRNA from 1 species
AACGAACGCUGGCGGCAGGCUUAACACAUGCAAGUCGAACGGGCCCUUCGGGGUCAGUGGCAGACGGGUGAGUAACACGUGGGAACGUGCCCUUCAGUUUGGAAUAACCCAGGGAAACUUGGGCUAAUACCGGAUACGCCCUUUUGGGGAAAGAUUUAUCGCUGAAGGAUCGGCCCGCGUCUGAUUAGCUAGUUGGUGGGGUAAAGGCUCACCAAGGAGACGAUCAGUAGCUGGUCUGAGAGGAUGAUCAGCCACACUGGGACUGAGAUACGGCCCAGACUCCUACGGGAGGCAGGAGUGGGGAAUAUUGGACAAUGGGCGCAAGCCUGAUCCAGCCAUGCCGCGUGAGUGAUGAAGGCCUUAGGGUUGUAAAGCUCUUUCACCGAUGAAGAUAAUGACGGUAGUCGGAGAAGAAGCCCCGGCUAACUUCGUGCCAGCCGCCGCCGUAAAAC